GGCAGGGUUCGUGACUGGGGUGAAGUCGUAACAAGGUAGCCGUAUCGGAAGGUGCGGCUGGAUCACCUCCUUUCUGG
rnacentral:rRNA from 1 species